GAUGAACGCUGGCGGCGUGCUUAAUACAUGCAAGUCGAGCGAACAGACGAGGAUCUUGCUCCUUCCACGUUAGCCGCGGACGUGUGUAUAACACGUAUGAAACCUACCUAUAAUACUGGUAUCACUUCGGGAAACCGGCGCUAAUCCCGGAUAAUAUUUCGAAGCGCAUUGUUCGAUAGUAAAAGAUGGCUUUGCUAUCACUUAUAGAUGGACCUGCGCCGGUUUAGCUAGUUGUUAAUGUAACAGCUUAUCAAGGCAACGAUACGUAGCCGACGGGAGAGGGUGAUAGGCGACAUUGGAAGUGAGCCACGGAUAAGACGCCUAAGAGACGCAGCAGUAGGGAAUGUGACGCAGUAGGGGAAAGCAUUGCGGAGCAACGCCAAGUGAGAGAUGAAGGUCUUCGGAUCGUAAAACUCUGUUAUUAGGGAAGAACAAACGUGUAAGUAAAUGUGCACGUCUUGACGGUAACUAAUAAGAAAGCCACGGCUAACUACGUG
rnacentral:rRNA from 1 species